rnacentral:lncRNA from 1 species
UGGUCACUGAUCUCGAGGCCGAGGUCACAUGUGGUAUACCCGAGGCCCCUGCUCCGCCGUUGUCAGGGACAUGAGCUCGAACUCGAGCAUCAGCCAUAAAACCCCCCUGGGGUGCCGGUGUGGGUGAUGGAUGCGAAUUUCUUUGACUUAGCAGCUGAGUCAGUGUGGCGACCUGUUGUCUGAGCUCUUCAAAGGCUCCAGCAGUGACGACUGCCGGCUGGGGCUCUGGCACUUCUGAUGAUUCCUCUUGAGGAACAGGGAUAUCCUCAGGAGGGGGUUGGUUUGGAGCGGAUGAGCUUGCUGGUGGAAGACCUGAACGUGUGUUUACCAUGACUUUUGGUAGCGCUUCCCACAGACGGCGCCAAUGAUGCUACCAAAAAUCGUACCUGCUGAUUUUCCGAGCUUGAUGACUGGUGAGGAGCACGAACGUGAUCUUCCGAUACCUGAAACAAAGGCAACGAGGUGUGUUCUCGUCGCCCCUCCGAUGCUUAAGUCAGAAAGGGAAAUAUAUGCGUGAGGCUAUGUGCUGAAGAACAAUGAGAAACGUACCUGAAUAAUGGCCCAAGGUUCUGCUUUUAUAGGAGUAGGUAGUGUACUCCUAGUAGGAUUGUGUUGGUUGGAUGUUUUUAUCCAAGGGAAUUUCUAUUAUAAAGAAUGUCCUACUUGUAAUGGAAUUGUUUGACAAGUGGUGUUAGGGUUGAUGUAGAAUCCUUGGGUGUUUAGGUUUGUUAGUUAGGUACCCAGGUCUUAGGAGGUAUGUUGGUGGUGUAUGUCUCGAGGACUAUUCUCGAGGACAUUGAGGGAAUGUAAAUGUGUCCUCGAGGUAUCUCGAGGACUAAGGUAUCUCGAGGACUUAGAUGACCUCGAGGAUAGAAGAAGAGAAAUGAGGUGGGGUAUAGAUUGAGUCCUCGGGAUACACUCCUCGGGGUAUACCAAUAUUGGCAUAGUCAA